rnacentral:rRNA from 1 species
UGCAGAGGGUGCGAGCGUUGUCCGGAAUCACUGGGCGUAAAGGGCGCGUAGGCGGCUUGAUAAGGUUGCGGUGAAAGCCCGGGGCUCAACCCCGGGUCGGCCGUGGCAACUGUCGAGCUGGAGCACUGUAGAGGCAGGUGGAAUUCCGGGUGUAGCGGUGGAAUGCGUAGAGAUCCGGAAGAACACCGGUGGCGAAGGCGGCCUGCUGGGCAGUGGCUGACGCUGAGGCGCGACAGCGUGGGGAGCAAACAGG